UACGUAGGAGGCGAGCGUUGUCCGGAAUCACUGGGUGUAAAGCGCGUGUAGGCGGCCUGCCAAGUCUGCUGUGAAAGCGCCUGGCUUAACCGGGCGAGGUCGGUGGAAACUGGCGGGCUGGAGGACGGUAGAGGGGGGUGGAAUUCCCGGUGUAGUGGUGAAAUGCGUAGAGAUCGGGAGGAACACCAGUGGCGAAGGCGGCCCCCUGGGCCGCUCCUGACGCUGAGACGCGAAGGCGCGGGGGAGCGAACGGG
rnacentral:rRNA from 1 species